rnacentral:rRNA from 1 species
AGUGAACGCUGGCGGUAGGCCUAACACAUGCAAGUCGAACGGCAGCACAGUAAGAGCUUGCUCUUACGGGUGGCGAGUGGCGUACGUGUGACGAAUACAUCGGACUCUACUCUUUCGUGGGGGCUAACGUAGGUAAACUUACGCUAAUACCGCAUACCACCUACGGGGGAAAGCAGGGGAUCUUCUGACCUUUCGCGUUUGCAUGCGCCGAUGCCGGAUGAGCUAGUUGGCGGGGUAAAGGCCCACCUAGGCGACGAUCCGUAGCUGGUCUGAGAGGAUGAGCAGCCAUACUGGAACUGAGAGACGGUCCAGACGCCUACGGGAGGCAGCAGUGGGGAAUAUUGGACAAUGGGCGCAAGCCUGAUCCAGCCAGACCGCGUGAGUGAAGAAGGCCUUCGGGUUGUAAAGCCCUUUUGUUGGGAAAGAAAAGCAGCAGGUUAAUAACGCGCUGUUCUGACGGUACCCAAAGAAUAAGCACCGGCUAACUUCGUG